rnacentral:rRNA from 1 species
AUUGAACGCUGGCGGCAGGCUUAACACAUGCAAGUCGAACGAGUGGCGGACGGGUGAGUAAUUCAUGGGAAUCUAGCUUAUGGAGGGGGAUAACUACGGGAAACUGUCGCUAAUACCGCGUACCAUAGGCUGAGCCGUAGUGGGUUUAGGUAGUUGGUGGGGUAAAGGCCCACCAAGACGACGAUCGCUAGCUGGUCUGAGAGGAUGACCAGCCACACUGGGACUGAGACACGGCCCAGACUCCUACGGGAGGCAGCAGUGGGGAAUAUUGGGCAAUGGGGGAAACCUGACGCAGCCAUGCCGCGUGAAUGAAGAAGGCCUUCGGGUUGUAAAGUUCUUUCGGUAGAGAGGCGUUAACUACAGAAGAAGCACCGGCUAACUCCGUGCCAGCAGCCGCGGUAAUAC